rnacentral:rRNA from 1 species
GAUGAACGCUGGCGGCGUGCCUAAUACAUGCAAGUCGAGCGAACAGACGAGGAGCUUGCUCCUCUGACGUUAGCGGCGGACGGGUGAGUAACACGUGGAUAACCUACCUAUAAGACUGGGAUAACUUCGGGAAACCGGAGCUAAUACCGGAUAAUAUAUUGAACCGCAUGGUUCAAUAGUGAAAGACGGUUUUGCUGUCACUUAUAGAUGGAUCCGCGCCGCAUUAGCUAGUUGGUAAGGUAACGGCUUACCAAGGCGACGAUGCGUAGCCGACCUGAGAGGCUGGUCGGCCACACUAGAACUGGGACACGGUCCAGACUCCUACGGGAGGCAGCAGUAGGGAAUCUUCCGCAAUGGGCGAAAGCCUGACGGAGCAACGCCGCGUGAGUGAUGAAGGUGUUCGGAUCGUAAAACUCUGUUAUUAGGGAAGAACAAAUGUGUAAGUAACUAUGCACGUCUUGACGGUACCUAAUCAGAAAGCCACGGCUAACUACGUG